GAGAGGCAAGAACAGCUGUUCCCCCUUGCCGCAGAAGGCAGGGAGGCUCUGCAGUGGUAAACACCUCUUGAUAAUAUAAAUUAACUAAGGUUGUGUUGGAGAUUCUGAAAAUUCUGCAGUUUACCCUGAAAGCCUAUCUCGCCACCACCCUCCUUACCCCAGAAGGACUCAGGAGACACAGGCCCACGCAAGAGAUUUUAUCUGAAAGAGAAAAUGGCUGCCCCCAGAGAGAGGGGGAGCAGCAGCUCGUGAGUGAGGAAGCGCAUUUUUAAGGAGUAGGGGCAACACUUCCCCAGAUCAAAAGGAGCCAACACCUUUCAUCAUUGAAUGGAUCCCAGAUAUCCUUCCCCAAUCCAAGAUUGGUGAGCUACGAAUCAAGUUUGAGUAUGGUCACCACCGGAAUGGGCAUGUGGCAGAGUACCAAGACCAGCGGCCCCCUCUGGACCAGCCCUUGGAACUGGCCCCGCUGACCACCAUCACUUUCCCUUGAGGCAAAAUAAGAGUCUUCUGCUGCUAAAUUUGCACAUCCCCACCCCUUGACAACUUUAAAUCCUACUUAGGCACUCAGAUAGCCCUGUUCCUUAGUGAACUGCUCUUAGCUAAAAUGCAAUUUCUCAACACUUCAAGUGGAUUCUGAAGAACUUUUCUUGUAAAUAGCCUUUUUGGUGCUGCUGUGUAUAGUCAUUAUAAAUUGGAUGGCAUUCUAGCUAGUUCUUGAACAAAAGGAAUUUCCUUCCUAAAGACUCACCUUUAGAGUUUGUUCUGCUUUUUUCUAAUUCUCUUAAGAAGUUAACAGCACUCAGCCUUAUACCAACCGUGUUGGAAAGUUAGUAAUACCUUGGUUAGGGCACAGCGAUAAGGACCAUCCUGACAGUUCCAGUCAUGCCCUUUAAUUAUGUUCUCAAAUAAAACCCAGUGUCACUAGUUUUUCCAAAUUAUGUAUCAUGUUGGCCUGAGUCUAAAAUUAUAAACCUUUUGGGAGAUUUAGAUGAUAGUGAAAAGGAAAAAGAAAUCCAGGUGUCAAAGGAAUAUUAACAUUUAAAAUUAAUACUUGUUCCCUUCAUAUUCCUUCUUUAUUCUCCAGAAAGUUUGACAGCUGGUAAGAUACAAUUUCUAUUUGUGAGUUCACUGAUCACAGAAUGGAGAUACUGAAAGACACAGAUUUAGAAAUCUAUCUUCAAGGAGAAAAAAAGAGAAUGAAUAUUUCCUAUAUACCUACUUUGUGCCAGGCACUUUUAUUUAUAUUCUCAUUCAUUCGUCUCCAUCAUUUAGUCCUCAUUAUUCUUUGGGUUUAGGCAUUACUCCUUUUAUAGUUAAAGAAACAGCCUCUCUGAGGUUAAGUAUCUUGCUGGAAACAGCAUUAAAAAUAUUGUUUCAUUUUACCGCAAA